AGAGUUUGAUCCUGGCUCAGGAUGAACGCUGGCGGCGUGCCUAACACAUGCAAGUCGAACGGGUGUGGUAUCAGGGAAAGGGGGUUUACUUCUUUGACCAGAUAACACACUAGUGGCGGACGGGUGAGUAACGCGUGGAUAACCUGCCUUAUACAGGGGGAUAACAGGGAGAAAUUCUUGCUAAUACCCCAUAGGUAUGUCUGACGCAUGUUGGACAUAUUAAAGCUUUGGCGGUAUAAGAUGGGUCCGCGUCUGAUUAGCUAGUUGGUGGGGUAAAGGCCCACCAAGGCGACGAUCAGUAGCCGGCUUGAGAGAGUGGACGGCCACAUUGGGACUGAGACACGGCCCAAACUCCUACGGGAGGCAGCAGUGGGGAAUAUUGCACAAUGGGGGAAACCCUGAUGCAGCGACGCCGCGUGAAGGAAGAAGGUCUUCGGAUCGUAAACUUCUAUCAGCAGGGAAGAAGGAAGUGACAGUACCUGAGUAAGAAGCCCCGGCUAACUACGUGCCAGCAGCCGCGGUAAUACGUAGGGGGCGAGCGUUAUCCGGAAUUACUGGGUGUAAAGGGUGCGUAGGCGGUAUGGCAAGUCAGUUGUGAAACCCCCUGGCUCAACCAGGGGCUUGCAAUUGAAACUGUCAUACUAGAGUGCAGGAGAGGAAAGCGGAAUUCCUAGUGUAGCGGUGAAAUGCGUAGAUAUUAGGAAGAACACCAGUGGCGAAGGCGGCUUUCUGGACUGUAACAGACGCUGAGGCACGAAAGCGUGGGGAGCGAACGGGAUUAGAUACCCCGGUAGUCCCAGCCGUAAACGAUGGAUGCUAGGUGUAGGAGGUAUCGACCCCUCCUGUGCCGCAGUUAACGCAUUAAGCAUCCCGCCUGGGGAGUACGGUCGCAAGGCUGAAACUCAAAUGAAUUGACGG
rnacentral:rRNA from 1 species